rnacentral:misc_RNA from 1 species
UGAAAGAGGCAUUGCAGAGCGAUUACCCUUCAACACAGAAGAAAUUUCCUAAGAGAGUCUCAAGGUGGAAAUUCAGGUUUCAACCACAAUAUAGCACAUUGCAAACAAUUAAAAAAAUUACAUAAAGUAGAAGAGAUAAUGCAGAAGAAAUCAUCUAUAUAAUAUUCUGCAAUGAAUUGUGAGGGUACAGCUAAUGAGACUACAAUUUCCUAAUAUACCAAUUCAAUAAAUCUACCAUGUGAUCAAUAUGAUA